GGAGGGAUGGCUCAGUGGUUAAGAGCGCUUGUUGCUCUUACAAAGGACCUAAGUUCAAUUCUUAGUAUCUGCA
rnacentral:tRNA from 1 species